AAACAAUUAUAGGAAUAUUUUUACACUAAUCAACGCUUGUUUAUAAUCAUAAUGACAUUGAAAUGCCUCAAUCACUCAGUGAGAGAAUGGAAUCUUCAAAUUUUAAUACUAAAGAAGAGGAACUGUCCACUGCUCAGUAUGAAAUAAAUCAAGAGAACACUGAUAUUAUGAUUAUUGAUUUGGAGGAAGAUGAAAAUGAAGAUAACUGUGAGACUACUGAAGAAUUAACUUUGCUGAAGAGAUAAAGAAAAAUAAUUCAAUUGGUUAUUAUCACAUGUUGCAAAAAUUACAACAUUUAUUGUAAACAGUGAAAAAAUACAAGUGAUAUGGAAUGAUUAUUUUGUGAUUUCUUAACAUCUGUGGACUUUACUCAUGCUCACCCAAUUAUAAAAAUGAUUCUUUUGAUUAUAUUUUAGGACAAAUUGCCCAUUUGUACACAUUAAACAAAAUUUCAAAGGAUCUAAAAUGAUGCUUAUGAUGUGGUAUGGAUCAUUGCUUCUUUUCUUUUUGUUAAAAGUUAGCUAUAGUUCAGAUGAAUGCACAGAAAGGUUUAUGGAGCUUUCAUUACUAAAGUACAGAGCAGAAAGAAUAGGAAUAGAUCAACCCGAAACCUAUGUUGGUGAUAAUGCACAAAGA